AUAAUAUUCCAUUGUAUAGAUACAUCACAUUUUGUGUACCAGUUUAUCAGCUGGUGAACAUUUUUUGGCCAUUAUGAAUAAUGCUGCUAUGAGUCACAGAAACCAUUCCCCUCACUCAAGAAACAGGUUCUCCAGGAACUAAGCUAAACUUAUUUGAAAUGGAAAUUCUCAGGUAUUCUCAGCAUAGACCUAUAGAUUCACUUAGGGGGUGGGGUCCACCCAACUUCUUUUAAUAGGUCCUCCAGGGGAUUCUGAUGGAUGCAACGCUAACAUUUGUGAACAUCGUCAAAAU